rnacentral:rRNA from 1 species
GACGAACGCUGGCGGCGUGCUUAACACAUGCAAGUCGAACGGAAAGGCCCUGCUUUUGUGGGGUGCUCGAGUGGCGAACGGGUGAGUAACACGUGAGUAACCUGCCCUUGACUGUGGGAUAACUUCAGGAAACUGGGGCAAAUACCGGAUAGGAGCUCCUGCUGCAUGGUGGGGGUUGGAAAGUUUCGGCGGUUGGGGAUGGACUGGCGGCUUAUCAGCUUGUUGGUGGGGUAGUGGCUUACCAAGGCUUUGACGGGUAGCCGGCCUGAGAGGGUGACCGGCCACAUUGGGACUGAGAUACGGCCCAGACUCCUACGGGAGGAAGCAGUGGGGAAUAUUGCACAAUGGGCGGAAGCCUGAUGCAGCAACGCCGCGUGCGGGAUGACGGCCUUCGGGUUGUAAACCGCUUUCGCCUGUGACGAAGCGUGAGUGACGGUAAUGGGUAAAGAAGCACCGGCUAACUACGUG